AGUGAACGCUGGCGGUAGGCCUAACACAUGCAAGUCGAACGGCAGCACAGUAAGAGCUUGCUCUUACGGGUGGCGAGUGGCGGACGGGUGAGGAAUACAUCGGAAUCUACUUUUUCGUGGGGGAUAACGUAGGGAAACUUACGCUAAUACCGCAUACGACCUACGGGUGAAAGCAGGGGAUCUUCGGACCUUGCGCGAUUGAAUGAGCCGAUGUCGGAUUAGCUAGUUGGCGGGGUAAAGGCCCACCAAGGCGACGAUCCGUAGCUGGUCUGAGAGGAUGAUCAGCGACACUGGAACUGAGACACGGUCCAGACUCCUACGGGAGGCAGCAGUGGGGAAUAUUGGACAAUGGGCGCAAGCAUGAUCCAGCCAUACCGCGUGGGUGAAGAAGGCCUUCGGGUUGUAAAGCCCUUUUGUUGGGAAAGAAAAGCAGCAGGUUAAUACCCCGCUGUUCUGACGGUACCCAAAGAAUAAGCACCGGCUAACUUCGUG
rnacentral:rRNA from 1 species